rnacentral:rRNA from 1 species
ACGAACGCUGGCGGCCUGCCUAAAACAUGCAAGUCGAACGAGACCUUCGGGUCUAGUGGCGCACGGGUGCGUAACGCGUGGGAACCUGCCCUUAGGUUCGGAAUAACUCCCAGAAAGGGGUGCUAAUACCGGAUAAUGUCUUCGGACCAAAGAUUUAUCGCCUUUGGAUGGGCCCGCGUUGGAUUAGCUAGUUGGUAGGGUAAAAGCCUACCAAGGCGACGAUCCAUAGCUGGUCUGAGAGGAUGAUCAGCCACACUGGGACUGAGACACGGCCCAGACUCCUACGGGAGGCAGCAGUGGGGAAUAUUGGACAAUGGGCGAAAGCCUGAUCCAGCAAUGCCGCGUGAGUUAUGAAGGCCUUAGGGUUGUAAAGCUCUUUUACCCGGGAUGAUAAUGACAGUACCGGGAGAAUAAGCUCCGGCUAACUCCGUG